UACAGAGGGUGCUAGCGUUGUUCGGAAUCAUUGGGCGUAGAGGGCGCGUAGGCGGCUUGGUCAGUCCCGUGUGAAAUCCCUCGGCUCAACUGAGGAACUGCACGGGAAACUGCCUGGCUUGAGUUCGGGAGAGGGAAGCGGAAUUCCGGGUGUAGCGGUGAAAUGCGUAGAUAUCCGGAGGAACACCGGUGGCGAAGGCGGCUUCCUGGACCGACACUGACGCUGAGGCGCGAAAGCUAGGGGAGCAAACGGG
rnacentral:rRNA from 1 species